AUAUAAAUUUUAUGUGUAUAUUUGGUGUUCCUAUACCAUUAUUUCGGCUAUUAAGAUUCAAAAUUCUCAACACAUAUUUAAUUAAUAUUUUUAAAUAUACGUACAAUUUAUACGUAAACACAGACAUAGUAAGGAGAAAGUAAAGAAUAGAAGUGAAAGCUAGAAAAAUUUGUAAAGAAAUUAGUGGUUUCAACAUAUGUGCGUGGUUUUACAAUAAAGUGUCCUAUCUAUAUUUAAAGAGAGAAUCCAAGAAUGCGCUAACUGUGUGGAAGUACCUGGCGCCCUUUCUAACGCACCUCGAAUCGCGUUAGUCACGGCCAAUGUAAGGAAGCAAGAGGGUGGCAGUUAGGGUCGAAGAAAAAUCGGAAACCACUGACAUUACUACGGAAAUGGAGGGAGUUAAAAAGAUAAAAAAAUCGAAAAUUGUCCCAAGGAUCUGAAGAGAAUCAUGUUGAAUUACUGAAAAAUGGUAUCUAGAUAUGUAGAUCUGAAGAAAAUUGUGGUGAAUUUCUGAAGGAUACCUAGUAUAAAUUUAUUGCACAGAAUACCGUGUAAUUAAUAAUUACAAAAUAAUUAAUAUUGAUUGUAAAGAUUUUGUAAGCUUCACUGAAUAUUUUGCAGGAGAGAGCAUGAAUGAUAAGAAUCAAGAUCUAUGUGUAGGCUUCAUUUUCCAAGACAAUUAAGUUUGAACAUUAUACUUUAUGUUGGACCAUAUAAAAAUGCGGCCGUCUACUCUAGAAUGAAGUGUAAUCGUAACAUAAAUUGUAUUAAAGCUUUUCGCUAAUAUCUUGGAAAUUAAUGCCAAGUAGCGAUAACAUGUACAAAAAAAGUAGUCCAGAAUGAUGACCUUGACAACACAUCUCAAAAUCAUGA